rnacentral:rRNA from 1 species
AUGAGGAAGGUGAUAGCACAGUCAGCAAUCAAGUUCUUCAGGUCGAUUGUUUGCCGUUUCGGGAUCCCUAAUAGGAUCAUCACCGACAACGGCACACAAUUCACGAGCCGCACCUUCAUGCAGUACGUCCAAGAUCUUGGCGCCAAGGUCUGCUUCGCUUCUGUUGCUCAUCCGAGAAGCAAUGGUCAAGCGGAGAGGGCAAAUGCUGAAGUGCUGCGCGGGCUCAAGACCAGGACUUUCGACAGGCUGCACAGGUGCGGAAAGAACUGGAUUGAGGAGCUGCCGGUGGUUCUUUGGUCGAUCAGGACGACACCAAAUCGAGCCACUGGCCAGACACCUUUCGCUCUAGUCUAUGGAGCAGAGGCAGUUCUCCCCACGAAACUCGUAUAUGGGUCACCUCGAGUGCUCGCUUAUGAUGAGCUCGAGCAAGAGCAGUUGCGGAAGAUGACGCGCUGCUCCUUGAGGAAGACCAUCUUCAGGCUGCUGUACGAGCUGCUCGAUACCAGCAAGCUUUGCGCCGCUACCAUAGCCGCAAAGUUAAUGCCAGAAGUUUCGAGGAAGGCGACCUUGUUCUUUGGCGCGUUCAGUCCGCCAAGAAUUCCAACAAGUUGA